rnacentral:rRNA from 1 species
CAGUCGCCACGGUAAUACGAAGGGGGCUAGCGUUGUUCGGAUUUACUGGGCGUAAAGGGCGCGUAGGCGGACUGAUAAGUCAGGGGUGAAAUCCCAAGGCUCAACCUUGGAACUGCCUUUGAUACUGUUUGUCUUGAGUUCGAGAGAGGUAAGUGGAACUGCGAGUGUAGAGGUGAAAUUCGUAGAUAUUCGCAAGAACACCAGUGGCGAAGGCGGCUUACUGGCUCGAAACUGACGCUGAGGCGCGAAAGCGUGGGGAGCAAACAGGAUUAGAUACCCGAGUAGUCCCUGUCUCUUAUAC